CAUGCCUACGUGCGCAGAGUGCGCAGCGCGUCUGUGUGGUGGUAAUAGUGCGCGUUUCGAUCAUGCGUCAGUUUCUGCGCGCAUUAGAAUUACUCGACUCCAAUUAUGAAUUUCGAAACGUACCACAGCUUGGCGCGAGACAGUGUCUUCUAGAAGUAGCCGAGUCGAAUUGUGCGCUUUCGCCUGUGAUUGCCCGGCGAGAAAGAAUUCGCGAGGAUAUGACCGCGAGGACGUCCUUAAUUCUUGAAUCCUCAAGAACUGAGAACAGUUUGAAACUGUUGUCUCGGUUUAUACAUAGUGGUCCGUAAUCCGAGCAAGAGACCUGCCACCGAAAGAAAGGCUCGAUACAUUAUUGAACAAAGUUAUACCCAACUGUAAAAUAUCGAUCUUGAACUCUUCGGAAAAAUCUCUAUGAACUUGUCGAGCAACUCAAUAGAUUCAUCCGCAGAUACGUGAGGCUAAUCCGACGAUGCAAACGACCAAGUUAAGGGACUCGCUCAUUCUGCGAAAUUCCAUUCGGAGCUUAGAGCCGCGUUGCACCCCGAGAUUUAACCGGAAGCGAGGAGGACCCAAAAGCGGCCUGUGAUCUUACUUUGAACAUUCUUUUAGAUAUUCACUCGAAGCAACGUGGAUUCAACGUUCAGAUUAAGACAACGCCCCCGUGGGUUGCUUUGGCAAAGCUUGGCAGAGAGAAAGCGGAGAGAGCAAAAAAAGCAAGUAAGGGUGGGAAAGAAAGAGAGAGACAGAUGGAGAGAGACCAAGAGACGCAUCUCUCUGCGGUACACUGCU